AUAAUAUUUUCAACAUUCUUUAUUUUUCAGGUUUUUAUUCAGCAAAACAGAAGGCAAUAAAACAGAAGGGGGGAAGGGGUAUGGCACAAUUUGUAAAACAUCUUAUAACAGCAUCAGAAGUUAUGACAAGACAAACCACAGAUUACUAAACAAAGCUGACCCAUCAACACAAUUUUUUUUGUCUCCCACAAUGUUAUAGGUUAUCUGGCUGCCCUGACAAGACAUUUGACAAGACACAAGUGCAACAAACUAAGACCAAAAUUCUGCAGUGGAACAAGGCUUAUGUGUCAUAUUAAAAAUAUAUAUUAGAGGGCUUAUUCUGCCAUUGUUCUAAGAUGGACACAUAGAGGCCCAUUUCAAAUGAGUUUUUUUAACUCUAAUAAAUUCGAAUAUACUUGAAAUUCGAUUGGGAAGGCAUUUAAUAAAAAAAAAGAAUAUCUAAAACUCAAAAGAAUCUUACUGACCCGAAAACUUUACUGACUCGAAUCAAGUAUUUUCUCUGAAACAAACGCGAAUGUCAGGAAAUCUUGAAAAUUGGUCACUGGACUUCUCCCAUUGACCUAUACAUUAUUAUUCAAUUACUAUUGAAUUAUUCCCAGGGUAUAAAUCUCAAUAUUCAAAUUAAAAUUCUAAUCAAGUUUGCAUAAUUCACAAUUCGAAUUUGAGAGUUUUGACUAGUACUAUUUUGAAUUCACAGAUAACAUUUGGAACACUAGAGCAAAUCUGUAAGAACCGAUCAAAACAUCACCACUAACUGCUGUACAAGUAAUAGAGAUGCUCCUGGUUGUAAAGCAUGCACUCCAGAAUGACAGAAAACAGAUGUCAGCACACCUUAGAAAAAAAAAUACAUGACAAUGACACUGCACAGGAGAGAAAAUUAAUGAAUUUGCAGAGGCACACAAUGACCUACUGUAGCUGACUCUCACAAUAAAAUAGAAUAGAGAACUAGAGCUUCUUACAGAUAAGGUGAGUGACUUAGAAGACAGAUCACACAGGAGUAAUCUGCAACUAAGAGGGGAAUCAAUCAUUCACAAAAUUUGUAGAGAUACCUUCUAGAUCUCUUUGAAACCAAACUGCCAGACUUAUACCAACUAGAAACAAAAUUUAAUCAAAUGCACAUGGGACCCAAAUUAAGGACUGCAGCCUGAAAAUCACUAAUUGACGUACUUGCUAAAAUUGUAUUGUAUAAAUUAAAUGAAAAAAAACUGGGGCAUUCAAUAUCAACAUAUUGUAAUCUACAGAUUUACCUCAAAACUGCUUUGACAACAAAUCUUACCAGGUCUGCCAUCAGGAGGGAAAGAGGGAUAUUGCUGUGCUAGGACCAGUGAAAUUUGCAUUUGAAGGGGGGCCUGGCUUAAUAUAUAAAGUUACGUUAAACCUUACACAAUAUAUGAACAGCUUAUUGUAGACUAACAUUGGCUGUUUAUAUUGGCAUCUAUUUACUGAAUUCUAUGAGUGUCUCCUACAUGAAUUUUUCAGCAGUGGACCUGCCCUGCGACAAGAUCAUUAGACCUCCUGAACUUAUGCAAUUUAAUUAUGCAAAAACUAAUGUUACAUAUGCAGAACUGUACUUUAACUUAGAGCAAUCACCACUGCCCCCCCCCCCCAAUGAAUACAAUAACACUAGGUAAAUUGCACUGCCCAUACAUAUAUUUUGUUUAAUCAAGAGAUGCAUUUUAGCAAAAAACCCUACAUUUUACAAUUAAUAUUUUCAACAUAAUUAUCAUUCUUUCUCUAGCAGCAAAAUGAGCAUCCUUAUUAAUAAACUCCAAAAUACUAUUCCAGCUUGCUGACCCCAAAGUUCAAUGCUUAAUGUAAUGCAAUUCAUGCAUUACUUAAUCUGUUUACCCCAAAUGAAAAUCAAAACAAAUUUCUUCUUACAAAAAUCAUAUUAUUUAAACUGACAAAAAUCCAUACAUACACAUGUGCUUACAUGUUCCCAUCUGCACAUGAUUACACUUAUAUCUUACUCCAACUAGAAAAGCAAGUUACAGACAUAAUUGCUUAAAGAAAUAACAGAAGCCAGCAAAAUUAACAAAACACUUUCAGCAAGUUCAGUAUACAAGCAUACAUUGCUGAAACAAAUAUUUUAUAUAAAAAAAUAAACUGACAAGUUAUUGGUACCCCAACUGAGGCAGAAGCCAUCUCAAACCGGAAUAAAGUAUAUAACCACUCAAAAGGCCAAGCUCACAGAUUGCAAACAUAAAGGAAAUUAAUUUGCAAACUAUUACUAUUCACUUUACACUUAAACAUUAUCCAGAUCAUUACCCAAAUCAGGAAACACUUUGGUAAACUCACCCUACAACAUCUAUUCGAACAACAAAUAGACUUCCUUCUGGAAACAUGUUUUCAGUAUGAUUAACAGCACACUACACAGUGAUUUGCCUCUACAACCACAAGUCACUCAAAUCAAUCAGCAAGGCUUUACCAACAACACUCCUGAGACUGACAUCAAGCAGACAGUACAGACUAGCAAUAAAACAGUAGUAAUCUUAGUUUGUUAUUCUAUCCACUAUUUAUAAUUCCUGUGAUACAAAUCUUAAUAAAGAACUGUAAAUAUCA